CAAGUUGAGGUCUCCCCCAGCAAUCAGAAAGGCUUUGGAGUGGUGCAGGGAACAGAUGCCUCUGCUUUAUACAAUUCUCAGGCUUUCCAGCAACCUAAUAACAAUUCUCAGGCUUUCCAGCAACCUAAUAACAAUUCUCAGGCUUUCCAGCAACUUAAUAACAAUUCUCUGGCUUUCCAGCAACCUAAUAACAAUUCUCAGGCUUUCCAGCAACCUAAUAACAAUUCUCAGGCUUUCCAGCAACCUAAUAACAAUUCUCAGGCUUUCCAGCAACCUAAUAAUUCUUUUGCCUUAUCUAAUCAAACUAAU
rnacentral:lncRNA from 1 species